CCGCAGUGGCCAUAUUUGUUGAUGUGUCAUAUCAAAGUGACUUGUUGGGGCUAUCAGCUGGUUAGGUAGAAAUCCCAAAGUUAACUAUUGCCCCGGUUCUCUGCGCAUUGGAGUACACCAUGGAGCUCCCGCAUUCGGAUUGAGCCCAGAGAGGGGCCGUGGAACAGGCUGCUCCUGCGUCAGACACACGCACGCAAGCGCGAUGGAAGGAUCAGAGGUUGAGUCUGUGUCGGAGGGUUUGCCGCCGGCGAAUGAGCCUCACAGCAGCACACCUGAUGUAAAAGAAGAGGAACAAAUCUUUCACAGCACUGCAGAUGUGUCAGAGAAGUGCAGCCAGGCGGAAGAUGAAGCAGUGCUCCACGGUGAAUUAAGAGAUACAGCGACAGAUGUGCCGGCAGACAUGAAGACAAAGUCGGAAGCUCAAACUUGCAGUCAGGAACAGGAAGAGGGGUGUGAACUGGAUGCUGAUGACAGCUGUGACCGACAAGGCGUUCCCACGGAGUGCAGGAUACCUCCACCUUCACAUGAGGCUGGAGGAGCUUUGGUAGCACCCGUUGCCAUUUUGGGUGAUGUGGUAGAAAGCUCUCCUAUCCUCGAAGGAACAAUAGUAGCCAAAUUGAGCUUUGAUGAAGUGAAGGAUCCUCAUGUGACCACUUCCAACGGCAACGAGCAGCCAUCAGGCUUGAUCAGAGAUUGUCCUCCAGAGCCAUCGGCCGCUGAUGAUAGUGGUUCAGCUGAGAGUCUGUCAUCCUUUUCUGUCCAAAGCGCUUCCCAAAACUCCUCUUCCGAUCCGAUCACCACCUCAGGGUCCUGUAAUGGCCCGUCCAGCCCCAGUUCAGACACGGUCAGCUCUUCCCUCGCAUCCAGCCCGCAGUGCAGUGCCAAAACCUCAGCCCCCUCACAAUCGUUGUCAAGUCCGUACGACACUGAUUGCAGCCGGAAGCUCAUCUCCCAAAUCCAGCGCUCGCUGUCACAGGAGUCGCUGCUGGAUGAGCUAGAGUCCGAGCUUCUGGCUUGUCAGGGGGAGCGUGGAGGUGAGAGGAAAGGGAGCACACCCGUCAACGGACUCUCCACAGACCAAGGGGACUGCAUGUUGGUCUUUGAGAAGUGUGUGCAGCACAAGUACGCACAGCAGGAGAAGUCCAUUCAUAGGCUGCUUGAGGAGAACAAGAGGCACCAGGAGCUGAUCCUGGGUAUCUGUUCAGAGAAAGACAACAUGAGAGAAGAGCUGAAAAAGAGGGCAGAGACCGAAAAGCAGCACAUGGCCACCAUUAGAAAGUUGGAGGGAAGGGUGGAGGAGCUGCUGAAAGAACUUAAGGAGUCGCGGGAUAAACUGAUUCACCAGGACCAGGCAGCUAAGGCUGCACUCCAGCAAAUGCAGAAGGACCUGUCCUACAGGCUUGAACAGGCGGGCAAGAAGUGUGACGAGGCACGGCAAGAGAAAGAGGGCAUGGUGAUGAAAUAUGUGCGGGGGGAGAAGGAAGCCCUCGACCUGAGGCGAGACAAGGAGGGUCUGGAGAAGAGGCUCAGGGAAGCCACCAAGGAGGUCGACCGCCAGGCGCUCAGAGGAAACCAGCUGGCUCAGGAUAAAGGUCGUCUGCAGCAGCUGUAUGAUGCGAAGGAAGGCGAGGUGGGCAGAUUGAUGCGAGAGGUGGAAAAAUUGAAGGAGGAGCUCAACUCGCAUCUCAUCAAAGUCAAAUGGGCCCAGAACAAACUGAAGAGUGAGGCCGACGCGCACAAGGAAUCUAAAGACAAACUGCGAGAGACCACUUCCAAGUUGGCGCAGGCCAAAGAAGAGACAGAACAGAUCCGCAAGAACUGCCAGGACAUGAUCCGAACAUACCAGGAAUCGGAGGAACUCAAGUCCAACGAGCUGGAUGCUAAACUGAAGGAGACCAAAGUAGAGCUGGAGAAACACAAGCAGGAACAAACAGACCAAUUAGAGGUGCACCGAGUGAAGGCCAAAGAGCUGGACGACUUGAAAAGGAGUUACAAAGAAGGCAUGGAUGAGCUCAUUACUCUACGAACCAAGUUAAAGUGUCUAGAAGACGAGCGUCCGCGCUGGGAGGACGAGCUGAACAAGUACAGGGAGAUGAUCAACCGGCAGAAAGCCGAGAUCGGGCGGCAGAGAGAAAAGCUGGAAGAGAUCACGGCGCUGCAGGAGCAGCAUGAACGUGAUAAACAGGAGGUCACAUCUCUUCGCGAUGAAGUGGACGGCCUGUCCAACCAGCUGGCGGACCUCCAGCGUGAUGUACAAGGCAGCAGAGAGCGCGAGGCGGAGUUACUGGGCUUCACUGAGAAGCUGAGCAGCAAGAACGCCCAGCUCCAGUCAGAGAGCAACUCCCUGCAGUUCCAGUUGGAUCAGCUCAACAGCAGCUUCACCGAGCUGCAGGCGAAGCUGGAGGAGACCAACAGGCUGCUGGAUGACAAGUCACGGCUGCUGAAGCAGGAGGAGGUGCUGAGGCAGCAGGAGGUGCAGGGCCUGCAGGAGGAGCGGGCGGCAUUGCAGACCGAAGCGGCUCAGCUGAAAACCAGAGUUGAAGAGCUCCGGGAUGAGCUGUCGACUCAGAAAAGGAAACAGGCUGCCAACAUCAAGGACCUCACAAAACAACUAAUACAAGCCCGUAAGAGAAUGGAGCAGGUUGAGAAUGGAGGCUGCGACCGGGAUGCCAGCAGUAUGGGCAGUCGCUCAAGUUCCUCAGGUACUGCUCCUGGAUUUGGCUCCUUGAGCGCACGACACGGCGGCAGCGCUGGCGUUGAAGAUCGCUCACCGGACAUCCAGUCCGGCCCCUCGGUGGUGGUCGUGGACAGCUUCCCCGAGGUGGACAAGACCGUGCUGGUGGACCGCAUCGUCCGCCUGCAGAAAGCUCUCGCUCGCAAGCAGGAAAAAAUCGAGUUCAUGGAGGAUCACAUCAAGCAACUGGUGGAGGAGAUCCGCAAGAAGACCAAGUGAGUGGCCCCGUUCAGUAGACGAGGCAGAGAAGGGGGAGAUUCAUCUUCAUUAAAUUGUUUUCCUGCUUAAUGCCAUGGUGAAUUACUUUCUUGGCGCAGUUUGACCCCGAGGACGCAAGGUCAUGAUGUUAGACCGGUGCAAGCGAUGGUUGGACAUGCAUCUCAUGUAACUACGCCAUUAGAGAGGCACUUUCUUGCUGCUUUGUUAAAGGGAUUAAAAUAACGAGGACUAAAUGCAGCACAUGGUUCUUAGCGACGUCUGUUAAAAAGCUUUUGGUGCAAAUAGUGCAGAUAGAGAUGCUGACCAAUAGGAGUAGCGAGUUUAUUUGAUUUUCGUGCAGUUUUUGUACCUCUGCUUCAGCUCACCUUCACCUGACAGCGUAUGCACACAGUUUAUUAUCACCCGUAGAUUGUAACUUCUGCGCCUCACUUUGGAUCCGUGACACAAUUUCAAAGCUACUGAGAGUCAAGGGGGGGGGCACUGCAUCAGUGUGGCUCUUUUUAGUGAGGUGCCAUCCAUAUUCACGGCCAUCGCCCCCAACUGAAGAGAUGGCGUGAAGGUCGUUGCAGCUAUCUUAAUCACGUCGCUGCUUUAUGUGACGGUUGGGCCUUGUAAUGGAUCGCUAUGAAUUCAACAUACCAAAGUAUCACUUUUAGAACCAAAUAAACGGUUUCCUCGAAUCGUAAUCAUUGAUCGAGAUGUAGAUCUCUCCAAACUUCUUCUUCUAAUUGUUCUCCAUCACACUGGCUCUUGUUGCCAUAUUAUUAUUAUCAUUAUUAUCAUUAUUAUUAUUAUUAUUAUUACUACAACGAUUACUCAAAUAAUCCCUCCUCGACUCGGCUUGGAUCAUCCUUAUCUCUUUUCUCAGCCACACACUUGUAUUGAAGCCAUUAGCCUCAACCUACAUUCUCGAGUUAAGAUCGAGGACGAAUCCCACGGUUACCGGGCUAAAUUUAGCUCUGCGAAAUCUCUGCGAAGUGGAGGGGGGGCGGGGGCAUAUUGCACUUCCCAGAAGUUGGAAGUGCACUUGUCCUUUUUGCCUUUGUUGUAUCCAUCCCUCCAGGACGACCUGGUGAAACUGGAUUUCCUGUCAGCCUGCAGCAGGGGAUGAAUAAAGAGACCCCGUUAGUGGGACAGUGAAUAGCGAGAGAAAAGCUGCCGCUUAAGCUUCCACCGAUGAUUUUUGGCCUUUUUUUAAAAAAAUUUUUUUUUUAAGGUAAUUUCCUGUUGAAGCUACAACAACAAUUAACGUCUCUUGUGUACUCGCUCUAUUCCAAAGAAUAUACAGUUACAAAGUAGGUGGUGGGGAUAUUUUUGGAAACACCUGGUUGAAAAUCUCUAAGAAAUCUCCAAUCACAACUAAAUUAAAAACUGUUGCGUUUCAGCAGCAGGCAAAGCGUCAAGUCAGCGCAGUUGAGAAAACCGACAAUCUUGCCGCUUAAUUCGGUCGUGAGUUGGAUUCUGGGUCAAUUUUGGAUGAAUAAUCAACAUUUUCUGAGGAGUAUUUUUUUGCUAACUUUCAACGUUGGAUCAUUUCGCUGAAGCUUUGAUUCGCGCAAACAUCAAUUUCCCAGCGUGGUCGGCGAACUGUUUCCCUGUAGGCUUUUCACAUGAAACUUUUAUUAUCAGUGUGCUCUCAUCCAAAAGCUCUCAUUUGUAUGAAUACGUAAUAUGACCACAGACGUUCAAGCUGUUAUUUGUGGACCUCAAUGGAAGCUUUUAAUGCUAGAACAUACAUUUCGUACAAACCUCACUUCUCCCACAGCAGCAGCGACUGAGGCUCUUGGGUUUUGCAGUAUUCAGUGCCGCUUGUCAAACCGAUGGAGGAAAAACCAACAUGAUUUUAACAUGUGACUUGAAUUAAAAUGAUGCCGUCAUAAACCGAAUGAGAUCACGCACUCGGCUGGAACAAAAAAAGGACUCUCACAAAUAAAUCCUCGUGCAUCCCGGGCUGCAGACCUCGUGGCCACAACUUUAAUUUGCCCCUUUUUUUUGCUUUUGCUAAACACGGAACUGGGGUCCGAGUACGGACCCUUCAGAGUCUAGUCAGAGAAUCAUCCAGAGCUACGUGCUGAGGGAGGAGUCCGGGGCCCUCUCGUCCGAGGCGUCGGACAUCAAUAAAGCCCAUGUGAGCCGGCGGGGAGGCAUCAUGGCUUCGCUCUACACCUCCCACCCGGC